AUUGAACGCUGGCGGCAGGCCUAACACAUGCAAGUCGAGCGGAUGAAGGGAGCUUGCUCCUGGAUUCAGCGGCGGACGGGUGAGUAAUGCCUAGGAAUCUGCCUGGUAGUGUUGGAUAACGUCCGGAAACGGGCGCUAAUACCGCAUACGUCCUGAGGGAGAAAGUGGGGGAUCUUCGGACCUCACGCUAUCAGAUGAUCCUAGGUCGGAUUAGCUAGUUGGUGGGGUAAAGGCCUACCAAGGCGACGAUCCGUAACUGGUCUGAGAGGAUGAUCAGUCACACUGGAACUGAGACACGGUCCAGACUCCUACGGGAGGCAGCAGUGGGGAAUAUUGGACAAUGGGCGAAAGCCUGAUCCAGCCAUGCCGCGUGUGUGAAGAAGGUCUUCGGAUUGUAAAGCACUUUAAGUUGGGAGGAAGGGCAGUAAGUUAAUACCUUGCUGUUUUGACGUUACCAACAGAAUAAGCACCGGCUAACUUCGUG
rnacentral:rRNA from 1 species